UACGUAGGGGGCGAGCGUUGUCCGGAUUCAUUGGGCGUAAAGAGCUCGUAGGCGGCUUGGUUAGUUGGGUGUGAAACCUCCAGGCUUAACCUGGAGACGCCACUCAAUACUGCCAUGGCUAGAGUCCGGUAGGGGACCACGGAAUUCCUGGUGUAGCGGUGAAAUGCGCAGAUAUCAGGAGGAACACCGGUGGCGAAGGCGGUGGUCUGGGCCGGCACUGACGCUGAGGAGCGAAAGCAUGGGGAGCGAACAGG
rnacentral:rRNA from 1 species